rnacentral:rRNA from 1 species
AUGGGAGCUGGGAUGAAGCGCGCGAGGGAGGAGGAACCAACCGUGCCGCUGGCGCUGUCCCUCAGCACGGACUCGGCGUCUUCCGCCGUGACGUCGGCGGACUCGGGCGCCGCUGGGCCGGCCAAGCGCAGGAGGGGCGUCGUGGUGGCGACGUCGGGGGAGGGGGAGUUCGUGUGCAAGACGUGCGGCCGGGCCUUCGCGACGUUCCAGGCGCUGGGCGGGCACCGGACCAGCCACCUCCGCGGCCGCCACGGGCUGGAGCUCGGUGUCGGCGUCGCCAGGGCAAUCAAGGAACGGAAAAAGCGCGAGGAGAAACAACACCAGUGUCACAUCUGCGGGCUGGGCUUCGAGAUGGGACAGGCGCUCGGGGGGCACAUGAGGCGGCACCGCGAGGAGAUGGCACCACGCCGCGCCGACGAUCGCUGGGUCGCGCUGCUGCCGGAUCAGGAGGUGGCGGGGCAGCAGGCCGCCGCCGACCAGCCGCCGCCCGUCUUGCUCGAGCUGUUCGUCUAG